AUUGAACGCUGGCGGCAUGCCUUACACAUGCAAGUCGAACGGUAACGCGGGGCAACCUGGCGACGAGUGGCGAACGGGUGAGUAAUGCAUCGGAACGUGCCCAGUAGUGGGGGAUAGCUCGACGAAAGUCGAAUUAAUACCGCAUACGACCUAAGGGUGAAAGGGGGGAGUCGCAAGACCUCUCGCUAUUGGAGCGGCCGAUGUCAGAUUAGGUAGUUGGUAGGGUAAAAGACCUACCAAGCCUAUGAUCUGUAGCUGGUCUGAGAGGACGACCAGCCACACUGGGACUGAGACACGGCCCAGACUCCUACGGGAGGCAGCAGUGGGGAAUUUUGGACAAUGGGCGCAAGCCUGAUCCAGCCAUGCCGCGUGUGUGAAGAAGGCC
rnacentral:rRNA from 1 species